rnacentral:rRNA from 1 species
AAAGGAAUUGACGGGGACCCGCACAAGCAGUGGAUUGCCUGGUUUAAUUCGAUGAUAAGCGAAGAACCUCACCUGGGCUUGAACUGUAGCUGCUACGCUCCUGAAAGGGAGAGUCCUUCGAGGGUGCUACAGAGGUGCUGCAUGGCUGUCGUCAGCUCGUGUCGUGAGAUGUAGGGUUAAGUCCCACAACGAGCGCAACCCCUACUCGAUGUUAAAAUUACUUCGAGCACUGCCUCGCCAAAACGAGGAGGAAGGAGGGGAUGACGUCCAGUCAUCAUAUCCCUUAUGUCCAGGGCUACACAGACAAUACAAUGGCUACUACAAUGGGUUGCCAAACCGCAAGGUGGAGCUAAUCUCAUCAAAGGUAGCCCCAGUUCAGAUUGCAGGCUGCAACUCGCCUGCAUGAAGUUGGAAUUGCUAGUAAUCGUGCAUCAGCAUGGCACGGUGAAUACGUUCUCGGGUCUUGUACACACCGCCCGU